GAUUCCCUGCCAUACGCGUGUUGAUUUGGUAAAUUUUGAGCCAACACAAAUAAAUCGGGAACCUAAGUUGCGAUGCGGCUUGCAGGCUUCGGGUUGCUAGAGAAGAAGCAAAAAACAUCGCGAAGGGUACCCACCUGUAAUAACAGGGUUCAAAAUUACCAAACUCGCACGGUGUGCGCGGGGAUUUU
rnacentral:other from 1 species